GACGAACGCUGGCGGCGUGCUUAACACAUGCAAGUCGAGCGACGCUCUUCCUUCGGGGAGAUGACGGAGCGGCGAACGGGUGAGUAACACGUGGGCAACCUGCCCCUAGCUCUGGGACAACACCGGGAAACCGGUGCUAAUACCGGAUACGACAUCGAGCGGCAUCUCUCGAUGUGGAAAGUUUUUUCGGCUAGGGAUGGGCCCGCGGCCUAUCAGCUUGUUGGUGGGGUAAUGGCCCACCAAGGCGACGACGGGUAGCCGGCCUGAGAGGGCGACCGGCCACACUGGGACUGAGACACGGCCCAGACUCCUACGGGAGGGAGCAGUGGGGAAUAUUGCGAAAUGGGCGAAAGCCUGACGCAGCGACGCCGCGUGAGGGAUGACGGCCUUCGGGUUGUAAAACUCUUUCAGCAGGGACGAAUUCAGACGGUACCUGCAGAAGAAGCACCGGCCAACUACGUG
rnacentral:rRNA from 1 species